UGGAAGGCAGGCAAAUCCUUCAGACACCAAAGUCAUGGCCAUCUAGGGUUCGAAAACAUUUCUUUUAAAUUUGAUUUUAAAUCGGUUCUUUCCUUAUUGGCCUACUUAUAUGUAAACUUGGAUUUUGCGGAAAAAUUGAAUAUAAUAUUUUCAGUAUAUAUAUAUUAUAACACAUAAACAGGCCUAAUAACGUAAAUAAUAAUUUGUUGAAAAUUUAAAUUUAAAAUAAGUUGGUUCGCUAUCGAUUAACUAUCGCACAGGUAUCGUUUUUGCACACAAGAGACCGUGACAUAUAACAUGUCAAAUUGACACUUUAGCCAAAAUAUUUUGACAAAUUCACUGGGCGCGUAAAUAACGGGCAUCUUAAGCACACGGGGAUUCACCUGCAAGUUUUAGCCCUCGGCACCCCGAUCCAGAUGAGGAUUGGGAUGCUGGCGACGGGGCAGGUCGUCACAACCGGAGGCUUUUAGACAUUUCGACGGCAACUUUUCGCAAACUGCGAGGACUAAAUUGGGCCGUGUGAGUGUUAAUUUCCACACGGUUUUCCAAAACUUUUCUUCGUUUUUCCUCAGCGUGCCAAACAACAACAAUACUAGCGACGAAAAAACUUCGAUAGGCGCUGAGGUGCGAUAAGUCAGUGAUGGGAGUCCAUUAAUGUCGUGGAACCAGUUCCGAAAGUAGCCACCGUACAAAUUCAAAUAUUUGCGCGAAUAAUAUAAUUGAGGCCGUCAUAAUUUAGGCUAAAUACAUUUAUAUUAAUAUUUUGUACUUUGGUAAUAAAUCGAAUACGUUCAUGA